CUAAACAAAUCUGAGGUGGUGAGGAGCAGCUGCUCUCCAAACGGAAGCAACAGCCUGAAACCGACUCAGCCAACGGCUCUGCAUUUUACCUUUCCCCUCCUCCCUGGUCCGGCCAAGAGCCUGGCAACCAGCAACAUGGCAACUCGUAGCUGUAACAUGAAGAGUGUGUGUGCUUUUUGAAAGGAGGGCUUUAAAACACAAUGAAGUUGAGGACUGUUUCUUGCAACCCUGCUCUCUAGAGUCCCCCAGUGGCCGCAGUGGGAGUAUUACUGAUGUGCUUCAAAGCACCCGAUUUCGUGCUCCCACUUUUCUCAGCUGCGGGAAAGAAGGUGGAGAAAGUGAACCUAAGUGAAUCAGUUGCUCAAGGCUAUUGCAGAUAGACAGAUAGUAGUCUGAACCCUCUCCUGCAAACAAUUUUCCACUGAACUCUGUAAGGAAAAUCCCAAUGGAGUCAUGAAGAGUUGGACAUGACUGAACAACAACAAUUAAAAACCGAAGAAUCUGAAACAGGAACCUGAGGAGAUUUGUAGAAAUUUGGAGAAAGGUGAAAGAGUCCCUUGCUCUCUGAGGCCACCUUCAGUCUAUGAAGAAAAAUCAGAAGAGUUUUUGUACAGUAGCUAUUGUAUAGGCUACAAUGUUUAUCUGGUUUAAAAGAGUCAGCUUGAGCUGUAUUGCUGUGAGCUCCAUGAUGGUUGGACAACCAAAAUCUGGAUUAUGCUGGAGCAGAGAAGAGGAGAAUUUGCCCAGCUAAAGAGUGCUGAAGGACAACAGUCAAGCAAUGGGCAGAAAAGCAAUUUCGCUGAUGCAGAUGUUUGUAAAUGGACUGAUUACAUAAAAGCCUGCAGACCAGCGUUGUAAGUGACCUUAAACACAUGGGUUUUCCUCUCUUAUAUGGGUCCCGUUUAGAUUCCUGAAAGUCUUCAUCACAGAUAUUAUGGAUGUUGUGGGAAAGUAUGAUCUAAUUUCUAAAUUCUAAAUUUGGAUGUAUAUUGUGAUGUAUUUAUUAUUCCUGCAUUGACUUUAAUACACAUAACUGUAAUGUUAUUUCUUUUGCCUUAUUAAGUAAAUUAUUAUAUUUAAGAUUUAAAAGUGUCAUUAUUUUGAUUAUCUCUAUGUAAGAAAUGGCUAAUUGAGUGAAUGGGAAAUGCACCAGUGGGGGCUCAAUGGCUAGAGUGGAGUAGGAGUACAUUUUCUUUCAACUGGGUCACUCCUAAUGUCUUAAUAAAAUUAUGGUCCAACUAUGUGUUGAUGAUUAUUUCUGAUAAUCAAGACUCUUGAGGGUGAAGACAAGGUGGAGUGAAAAUAGUCCAAUGCAAAGCAGCGACCAUUUUCAUGCCU